AACAUGAAAGUGUGCUUGUUAGGCUUAGCCAAAAAACAUAAUAAUAUGUGACAUGCCCAUGCCAUCUAUUGCCUGCAUAGAGGAUUUGAUUGGCUGUUUUCAACACCUUUAUCGUGCGAGAGAGACGCUCAUUGCUUUCUCCAAUAAAACCCACAUAUGCGUUUCACAGGACGCAUUCGGAUUUGGCCUUUCUAAGAGCGACAUAUCGGACGCUUUCAGUAACAGUGCGGGCAAUUUGCUUUUAUUUUAAAUGAUCCAUAAUCUUAAUUCAAAUAUAAAUGUGCGCUUGGUAGGCCUAACCAAAAAAGUCAAUAAUAUGUGACAUGCCCAUCUAAUGCCAGCUUAGAGGAGUUGCCGUUUUCAACAUCUGUAUCGUGCGAGAGGGACAAUGCAACCUACACAGGCGUUUCACAUGACGCAUUGGGUACGCAUUCGCAGCAAAGGCCACCGUGCAGCACAUAGCCCAUUGAUUUCCUAUGGAGAGCGCAAGGUGUAGUUAACGCGUCCGCUAUGCAUCUCGGGAAGGCGGCGCGGCGGUGCGUCGAGAGGCUAACGCUAGGCGGUUAGCCAAUGAAAGUACAUCUUCGGUACACAAGUUCUCUCUUUUGCUCUAGUCUUCCGGUCCGCCUGCCAGAAAUAUUUGUUCCGCCUGCUCCGCGUGUUAGUUUAGUGAAAAUAUAUUAAGCUAUGGUGGCGAAGCCAUUAAGUUUAGAACAAGUUCGCCACUGCACCCUAUCAAAAAGACCUUGUUUGCGACUUGAACCAAGACAGAAGGUGCUUUGGAGGAACAUGUCAGUGAUAUGUUCCUUCUGUAAAGCACUGGAGUACCUGAGCUACAUUUCUCAAAGUGAACCCUCAUACAGAGACCCUACUGAGUACUACGCAGAGGCGCCUGGCGGUACAGCUACAAGGUCAACCUCAGCAUAGAUGAGUCCAGAAUCCACGCCCCUCAGUCCUUCUGUAAAGCACUGGAGUACCUGAGCUACAUUUCUCAAAGUGAACCCUCAUACAGAGACCCUACUGAGUACUACGCAGAGGCGCCUGGCGGUACAGCUACAAGGUCAACCUCAGCAUAGAUGAGUCCAGAAUCCACGCCCCUCAGAUCUGCAUUACAGUGCUGGUGUACUUGAGCUGCAUCUUUGAAAAAACAUGCUGUAAGGUCAGACAUGUUGUCCUCCUACCCCCAACUUCCUGUCCUCAUCCCAAAACUUUGUUUGGUCUAUAUUCCGUCAUUGGCCCUUGUCUUGCUGUAAAGUACUGGAGUACUUGAGCUACAUCUCUGGAAGUGAACACUUGUGCAUAGACGGUACUGAGUACUAUGCAGAGGCCUGGAAGAAGUUACAUGGUCAAUCCAAAC